rnacentral:rRNA from 1 species
AGAGUUUGAUCCUGGCUCAGAUUGAACGCUGGCGGUAUGCUUAACACAUGCAAGUCGAACGGUAACAGGCCUUCGGGCGCUGACGAGUGGCGGACGGGUGCGUAACGCGUAGGAAUCUGCCUGUUAGUGGGGGACAACGUGGGGAAACUCACGCUAAUACCGCAUACGCCCUGAGGGGGAAAGCGGGGGACCUUCGGGCCUCGCGCUAACAGAUGAGCCUGCGUGGGAUUAGCUAGUUGGUAGGGUAAAGGCCUACCAAGGCGACGAUCCCUAGCUGGUUUGAGAGGACGAUCAGCCACACUGGGACUGAGACACGGCCCAGACUCCUACGGGAGGCAGCAGUGGGGAAUAUUGGACAAUGGGCGCAAGCCUGAUCCAGCAAUACCGCGUGUGUGAAGAAGGCCUGAGGGUUGUAAAGCACUUUUAAUCGGGAGGAACAUCUGAUGGCGAAUACCCAUCAGUCUGACAUUACCGAUAGAAAAAGCACCGGCUAACUCCGUGCCAGCAGCCGCGGUAAUACGGAGGGUGCAAGCGUUAAUCGGAAUUACUGGGCGUAAAGCGUGCGUAGGCGGCUGCUUAAGUCAGAUGUGAAAGCCCCGGGCUUAACCUGGGAACGGCAUUUGAUACUGGGCAGCUCGAGUUGAGUAGAGGGGAGGGGAAUUUCCGGUGUAGCGGUGAAAUGCGUAGAGAUCGGAAGGAACACCAGUGGCGAAGGCGCCUCUCUGGACUCAAACUGACGCUGAGGUACGAAAGCGUGGGUAGCAAACAGGAUUAGAUACCCUGGUAGUCCACGCCGUAAACGAUGUCAACUAGCCGUUGGUCUUAUUCGUAAGAUUCGUGGCGCAGCUAACGCGAUAAGUUGACCGCCUGGGGAGUACGGCCGCAAGGUUAAAACUCAAAUGAAUUGACGGGGGCCCGCACAAGCGGUGGAGCAUGUGGUUUAAUUCGAUGCAACGCGAAGAACCUUGCCUACCCUUGACAUCCAGAGAAUCUGUGAGAGAUCGUAGAGUG